UACGUAGGGUACGAGCGUUGUCCGGAAUUAUUGGGCGUAAAGAGCUCGUAGGUGGUUUGUCGCGUUGUUCGUGAAAACUCACGGCUUAACUGGGGGCGUGCGGGCGAUACGGGCAGACUGGAGUACUGCAGGGGAGACUGGAAUUCCUGGUGUAGCGGUGGAAUGCGCAGAUAUCAGGAGGAACACCGGUGGCGAAGGCGGGUCUCUGGGCCGAUACUGACACUGAGGAGCGAAAGCGUGGGGAGCGAACAGG
rnacentral:rRNA from 1 species